rnacentral:rRNA from 1 species
AGCGAACGCUGGCGGCAGGCUUAACACAUGCAAGUCGAACGGGCACUUCGGUGCUAGUGGCAGACGGGUGAGUAACACGUGGGAACGUACCUUUCGGUUCGGAAUAAUACAGGGAAACUUGUACUAAUACCGGAUACGCCCUUCGGGGGAAAGAUUUAUCGCCGAUAGAUCGGCCCGCGUCUGAUUAGCUAGUUGGUGAGGUAAUGGCUCACCAAGGCGACGAUCAGUAGCUGGUCUGAGAGGAUGAUCAGCCACACUGGGACUGAGACACGGCCCAGACUCCUACGGGAGGCAGCAGUGGGGAAUAUUGGACAAUGGGCGAAAGCCUGAUCCAGCCAUGCCGCGUGAGUGAUGAAGGCCUUAGGGUUGUAAAGCUCUUUUGUCCGGGAAGAUAAUGACUGUACCGGAAGAAUAAGCCCCGGCUAACUUCGUGCCAGCAGCCGCGGUAAGAC